rnacentral:rRNA from 1 species
AGAGUUUGAUCCUGGCUCAGGACGAACGCUGGCGGCGUGCCUAACACAUGCAAGCGAGCGGGGAUAUACGGAAGGUUUACCGGAAGUAUAUCCUAGCGGCGGACGGGUGAGUAACGCGUGGGUAACCUACCUCAUACAGGGGGAUAACACAGGGAAACCUGUGCUAAUACCGCAUAACAUAACGGGGCGGCAUCGUCCUGUUAUCAAAGGAGAAAUCCGGUAUGAGAUGGGCCCGCGUCCGAUUAGCUGGUUGGUGAGGUAACGGCUCACCAAGGCGACGAUCGGUAGCCGAACUGAGAGGUUGGUCGGCCACAUUGGNGACUGAGACACGGCCCAGACUCCUACGGGAGGCAGCAGUGGGGAAUAUUGCGCAAUGGGGGAAACCCUGACGCAGCAACGCCGCGUGAAGGAAGAAGGCCUUC